rnacentral:rRNA from 1 species
GACGAACGCUGGCGGCGUGCCUAAUACAUGCAAGUUGAGCGCUGAAGGUUGGUACUUGUACCAACUGGAUGAGCAGCGAACGGGUGAGUAACGCGUGGGGAAUCUGCCUUUGAGCGGGGACAACAUUUGGAAACGAAUGCUAAUACCGCAUAAAAACUUUAAACACAAGUUUUAAGUUUGAAAGAUGCAAUUGCAUCACUCAAAGAUGAUCCCGCGUUGUAUUAGCUAGUUGGUGAGGUAAAGGCUCACCAAGGCGAUGAUACAUAGCCGACCUGAGAGGGUGAUCGGCCACAUUGGGACUGAGACACGGCCCAAACUCCUACGGGAGGCAGCAGUAGGGAAUCGUCGGCAAUGGACGAAAGUCUGACCGAGCAACGCCGCGUGAGUGAAGAAGGUUUUCGGAUCGUAAAACUCUGUUGGUAGAGAAGAACGUUGGUGAGAGUGGAAAGCUCAUCAAGUGACGGUAACUACCCAGAAAGGGACGGCUAACUACGUG